ensembl:lncRNA
GAUGCAGUUUAGUGAGUCUGCAGCUGAAGACGUUCAAAUACCAGACGAGCAGGAUUCAGAAAAUCAGGACGGCACAGAGGAGCCAUCAGAAGCUUCUGAGGUAGAGUCCUGAAAAACAAUACCUUGUGUAUUCUGUGUUUGCUGAAUGGAAUAAACAACUUUUGAAUUAAUGAUUUUCUUUCUGGCAGGAAUGCAGUGCCUCUCUCAAUGAAAAUGCAAAAUCUGAAAUUUCAGAUUCAGCUGGAGUGGAUACAGGUGCAGUUGGUAGUGAUGACAUGAACACAUGAUCCAGAGAAAUUUAAAUACUAUAGAAAAUUUCUAUAAAUACAAUAUUGUAAAUGUACUGUGCUGUCAUUACUGUUUAAAGGUUUUGUUUUUUUUUAAGAAGUCUCUUAAGCUCACAAAGGCUGCAUUUAUUUGUUAUUAGAAUUCUAAUAUGCUGAUUUGGUGAUCCAGUAACAUUUCUUAUUACUAUUAUUAAUUUUAGUUGUGCUGCUUUUAUAUUUUUUGUGGAAACUGCUAUACAUUUUUUUUCAAGAUACUUUGUAUUUAUUUAAAAAAAUCUUUCUUUAAAAUCUGACACUAAACUUUGAAUGGUAGUGUAUAUUAUUGUUUUAACAAUUUCCUUCCUUGUCACAGAUAAACAUUCUGAGGAGGAGCCCACAUUUAUUUUAACUCUAUAUGAGAUUCCAGUCUCUGAGUCUGCCUUUGGGCAGCAGGACACUCCCCCUUAUGAACUGCAGCCAGCACAAGUCCAGACACCCUUGCUGUUCUCAAACAGUUCACAUUCUCAUUAUUUCAAAUUAGAGCCUUCCAGGUACAUUUCUCUUCCAGUCUAGAUUUAAUUAGGAAACAUUUUACACAGUAAAAAAACAAAAUCCUUGAUCAUCCAUUCCUUUCAUCCUUGAUGACCUUGUUUUGCAGUGCAUCUCCGAACAUGGCGUCUGAAGAGACCAGUAAUCUAUAUAAAAGUAGUUCUCGCAAGGUGGUGGAUGACUCCCUGGAUCCUCUUUCAAAGGAAGCAGCAGAUGAUGCUAGUACACAAUUGAUAUCCUCACUGGAAAGCAGUUGUGAUGAUGUGAACUCUUUAAUUAGUCCACCCGGGAUGUUCUCUUGUAAUUCUGCCACGCCAACACAUGUGCUGAAAUUGGAUGAGAUCCUGACAGAAUCCCCAGAAACUAAAGCACCUUCUCAGAGGAGAUGUAGAUGUCAGAAUCUACCAACAUCUCAAACCACAGCACAAACUGAGAUUGAGACCAACCAGACACUAUCUGUGCAGGAAACAGUUGGUCCUGAAAGCCACUCAAGCCUUGAAGACAGUGAGAGGGAAGCCCAUCCUGGGCCUGAUGGCAUGAUAUCAACAGCCAUUGUUCCAGGGUCUGAAGAUAUGAGAGAUGAGAGUCACCUGAAGUGGGAAUGUCCUCUCAGAACAGAACUCCAGAGGAAUGAGGACUCUGUUGUUGACCCUCCAGUACACAGUACAUUCAUAAAGGAGUCUGAGGGGAACAACGAAGCUGGUUAUGAGGGUAUUUCACACAUAGUGUUGGCUGAUGCCUUCGUACUCUCAUCAGAAGAAAUGAAGGAUGUUUUUAAUAAGGAAAAAGAAAGCCUUUAUGAUAGUGAGCUCCAAAUACCUGAGGGCUUAUCUGUAUGUCUGACAGAGAGUGAGAAAUCUGUUCAUUCAGUUAUUGACCAAGUAAGUGUUUUUGUUUAUAUCCAAACAAAACAUUAGUCCUCAAUAUGUUAUGAAAUUGCCUGACGAGUGGUCCAUUUCCCAGAAAUAAAGCUCAAUAAGUAUUUAUCUACUUUUUUAAU